ACUGCAGUGCUGCAAGGGGGAAAACUAAUAUAUUUAAAAUGUGUGCGUGUCUGCAUGCAUGUAUCUAUCUGUCUGUCGAUCUCUCUUUCUUUCCCCAUGAAGCUUACGGAGCUGUGAGCACUGAACGUGGGAACUUGGACUGCUAUUCUGAGCACAUUUCAGAAAACUCUGUUGCGUCCCAUUACGUGCCUGUCUUUGAUCUCAAAUUGAAAAUCUCGGAGCCUCUUCCUCCAAUCCAAAAGCAAAUAAAUAGUGAAAGAAAGAAACCUCUCUCCUCUCAGCACGUAGGGCCUCCACGACUGAAAAAUGAAGGUGACAGUAAUAGCUCUGAUGAACCUGUUUGGACAACAGACAGCAACAAAUACCUGUCUCUGUGGAGGAGUUUAAGAGCACUGCAGAGAUCCUCAGACAGUGCAGAGCCUCUUGGCUUACACAGGCCACUGUCUUUCUCUCCAAACAAUACCAGCCAAGCUUCCUCUGUACCUACAACUGAAGAGCUGCGGGAACAGGACAGUAACUAAUACAGCUUUCAAAUUUGAAUCUCCUGGUCUUAUUAAAAAAUAAGAAAUGAAGAAAAAAAAAAAAGAAAAGAAAAAGACAUGAAUUCUAAGCAAGAUGAAGGAUUUGAUUCUGAGGAAGAAAACUACACAAGGAGGCUUGAAGCUACAAGGGCAGUCCAGACUGCUUUUUCUCCAACCAGCUACUUUACUCAUGGCCCUUUGAAAGCAGCAAUUCCUGUGAAUCAGCAGUUAAAACGGUUUUGCUGACAGAGGCCCAGAGUCGCCAGAGGCCAUCCUCGGCUCACCACACGCCAUCUUUCUGCAGAUGGUUGGGGCUGGUGGGGCGAUCGCUGCCACUCCAACAUGGCCUGCACCUCGAGGGACUCCACACCAAGCACUGCAGGCCUCCGGGCUGAGACACAGUGGAUGAUUGAUUGUACCCGCCAGCUGCCUAAUAUCAUAAUUAACAAAGUUGCUACCAUGUCUGAGAAGUUUAAUCGAAAAAAUUGCUGGCAGUAUGAUACCAUUGUCACAGAGAUCACAAGCACUGCAGUGCCGACUUUUGUACUGUUGGAGCCGCAGGACUAUGUAGAUGUGCAGAGAAGUCGUUCGCUGGGAUAACUAAAGUGAGCUGUGCUUGCAGACUGUGCGUGACUGUGCUCUGCUGGAGCUGCCCAGUGGCAUCCUGCCUCUGCUCUGUUCGUCGCCGCUGGAGCAGCAGUGCCAUGGGGACGCCGAACCUGGGAGCAGCUGCCUGAGACAAACCCUCAUACAAGGAUGUCAGCAGAAGCGCGUGGAGGCACGUCAGUAAGGUUUAGCUGGUGGAUCACAUUUUGAAAUCUGCAGCCAUGAAAAGCCCUCCAUUUAUUGCACCCUUCAAAACGAAAUAUUAGCAUGGGAGGCUAAGCUGGGUGUUACGGAGUAAUGACUUCAAGUUCUGCUUCAGAAGUAACUCCAUGGCACUACAAGGAGAGGUGUGAAUGAGAAAUGGAGGCUAAUAACGAAGGAGUCAGUGAAGGAGACCAAUGCCAUGAGGGUUAUCUCGCAGCCCCAGAUGCUGGAUAAGUUGGAAGAGGCAGAAUCGCUUUUGGAUGACAUUCAGGAAGGCCUUGAAUGAUUAUUUGGGGAAGAAAAGACUAUUCUUUCCAAGUGCAGCAAUGAUCUUUCAAGAAUCCUUUCUGAGACAAAGGAUCCACUCCACAUCCAGCCACACCUAAAGAAAUGCUUUGAAGGAAUUGCCAAGCUCACUUUUAAUCAUGAGAAAGAAAUUACCCACAUGGAGUCAGCAGAAAAUGAAAAAGUAGAGCUCGUGCUGUGAAUAAUUCCAGCAAGUGCCAAGGGGCUAGUUGAGCAAUGGCUUCAUGAGGUGAAUAUCUUUAGCUCUUACUUAGGGUUUAGUUACUGUAUAAUCAUUUUCUCUUUUAGGAGCAAUGAAUAUCAUAAGCAUAUUUCCUACCUAAACAGCUCUUUGAAUAUUUGUCAAGAUGUUGACAGAUUUCAGCCUUAUUGUUGUUAUUUAUUGCAGCUAAUAUAGCAACUGCAAGUGCAAAAAUUAAUUUUAAUAAAAAGCUCACCGAAUCAGGCUGUCAGCAGAAGUGGAUCUGUGUCUGAAACCAUGUUUGUGAAUAUAUGUCUAAGUCUACAUGUAUGUGUUUUUGUGCUUUCAUUGUGUAAUGUCGUUAGUUCAAGAGGAAAACAUUUUAAAAUCAAUCAGAGAAAUAUAAGAAUUCAGAUACAUCCCAUCUUGUACAUAUGUGUUCCAUUAUAUUGGAGGGAUUCUAUUUCCAGUGUCUUUUAACAAAAGGGAAGAGUAAUUACGUCACUGACAACAUUUUAACCUUUCCCCUUGGAGCCUCUCAUCCAAAUUCAUUGUUUUCAGUGUGAAAUUAGUUUGGUGACUUUUUGUUGUUGUUACUGUUGUUUAUUUCAUUUAGACUUCCUUUGUCAAAGGUUGGGAAUGGCCCCUUCUGUUGUUCUUUGUUUCUGGACCAAAGGUCCAUCCCCUUUCCCCUACACCUUCCUUUCUUCUGGGGCUGGACUAGCCCUGGGUAGGUAGGGGUUGACAGCUAGUGAGAUGGGGCAGUUGGAGGAGCACUAUUUCCAUCUCUAGCUGAUUCACUGGACUCCCUGGGUGCCAAGGAACAGUGCAGCCUGGUGCAGCCAGUGGGUUGGAGGAGUUUUUUCCAUUAUAUGUUGCUUUUCUGCUGUCUGAUUGAACAAAUUUGAGCCCUUUGAGCCAUCUUGUGAGGCCUUGUUUCCUAUUGCACUGAGUUGUGUGGCAGCAAUGUGCCAGGUUGUGGCUGAGCCAGUUCUUACAGUGACUUCUUCAUGGCAUUUGAGAUGUCAGCAGCAUCCUUUGGAGUAAGGGAGGAAAACAUAACAGGAUUUAGACAAAUAAAAGCCCUUCCACCCUGUUGUCUGUAUCAUGUGCCUAGCUUGAUGUUUGGACAAAUUUUCAGCACAAAUUUAUCUUCCUGGGGAAAGGUUUUAUAAAAAGUUGCAGUAGGCAAAUGGCAAUUCUGAGGUCCCCAGGAAAGGCCUAAUUCUCAGUUACACUAAGCCUGCAAUAUACUUUCCAUUUUUUUAUUUUUCCCACAAAUGAUAGAGAUUUGGGGAUGUGAGCAGCUGUGUUUAUUUUAACACAUCUCAUUUAACCUUCACCUAAAAACAAAUUGGAAGGUUUGGGAGUGCAUUAAUCUGGACCCAAUUAGUGUCUCUUUCUCCCUCAAAAGUGCAACCUGAGAUUAAUGAAUAUAAACUAGAGUUUCAUAUGCAGUCUUUAAAUCAUUUGCAUGUUUUAUGCAUGAUAAUUGAAUUUAUUUAUGCACUUCCUUUCAUUUAAUGAUUUCUUGCUCUUUUCUAUGCUAUCAACAUCAUAUUUUGCAAGAAAUAGGAUUUGGUAGGCAAGAAAGAGUAGCAGUAUAUAAAUCAAAGCUCAGUUAAUUUUUAGUUCUAGUGUCAACUGUACAUCACUGUUCAUUUUGGUAUCAUGCAAGGGGGGUACAUGGCUGGAAAAAUAUAAAAUAUUUUUGGUGAAGGCUUUUAGCUUAACAAUUUCUGAUGCAGCUUAGUUUGCUUGCAAGUGUGCAAGCAAAAUUAUUUUCAAAUGGCAGUUAAAUUAUUGUAUUGACUUUUCAAUGACCCUGGAGACUUGUGUUUCAACUUGGCCAAUUAGUAGUAAUAAGAAGAUGAACAGUAAUUACAUUAAUAAAUAACUGUUUUCAGACCAGGACCUCAGUAUCAUAGUCUGGCUAAGAAAAUAAGGGCAUAUUAUAAUUUGUCUCAUUUUGUCUUUGACUGAGAGAAAUAGGGACUUUGGAGCUAUAGUAAAUAGCUCAUAGCCCAGAAUAUAGCAGUCCCAGGGACUAGGAGCCAUAUCAGCUAGCAGCUCUGUGGUAGUAGCUGUUUCAGUGCCAUAAGUAGAGAGUUUUGCUUUGUUUCUCUACUUAAGCUCAGAUGUCUUAAAGAUUUCUUAGUGAUUGUCUCUGCAUUUUUUAUAAUGCAUGCCAGGAAGCCACCAUGGCAAAGAAUUUUAAUAAGAUGCUGGUAGUGGUGCUUUCAAAGCCUUAACCUAUACCAGAUUCUAUUUUGUCUCGUCUUUCCUUAUGUGUUGAAAGAUGUAUGUGGAAGUGACAUUUUUCUGUGGUGUCUUGUCUUUUAUCAGUGGAUUAAAUGGUUGUGUGUUGUGAUUGUUUCUUGAUUCUCGUAGGUAGGAAUGUGUUUAAAGGCUAAAGCUCUGUUAAUUUGUGAUGUAACCAUUUCAGUGUGUUUCUUGUCAUUGAAAUGUAGUUUCAAAUGUUCAGUAAUAUAGCAUGAAAUUAUUGGUUAGUUUUGGAGUGGUGGUGAAAUCAUGUGAAGAAAAUAAGUAUUGCAUCUGAUCAAGAUAAAUUCACUCUAGUGUUUUAUGGCUUUUUAUUCCUAUGUGAUAGUAAUAAAGUCUCAUGUAGGGAUGGAAGCCAUGAAAUACAUUGUGAAAAAUCAUCAACUCAGAUGGGGCCAUCAGAAUAGCAUGCUGUAGUUGUAGAGUUAUUGAGAAUGAUUGGAAGAUGAUUUAGUAUGCCACCAUGUUGACUACCAUGUUAUUCAUUUUCUUUCUUCAUCUCUUACUCAUGUAGUUUGAUGAGAGGAAAUCAGUUUCUAAUGAGCUGAUCCAUCUUCACAUCAGUGUUUGGUGUUUAUACCGUUCAUACAUCUUUCAUAUUCUUCUAAAGAUAACACUGUAUAUGAAACACUAAGCUAAGAAUUUAAUGUGUAUAAUAAACAAAUGCCAAAAUGAAUAUCAAGAAAAUCCAAUGAUUUGUAAAUGCUUGAAAAUUACAGACAGAACAAAGCAAGGUCUACCCUGUUAGCUAGUGAUCCAGGUUCUUUAUUUCCAUGUUCAAGAGCAAAUCUGAGAGAUGAUCUGGGGAUUGACAAAGAAUUCUCUUUCCCCUCUUACUUGCUUUUGAAAGUGCAUGAUCUUUUCUCAUUCUGGAACUGAGAUAAAGGCUGAUAGUGUUGAGAGCAGAAAACAAUCCUUGACAAUUUAUUUGCAUUGCUGCCAUUCCACAUAGUGCCUUACCACUCUGCUUGGCUCUUUGGGUACCAGUUUCCUUUGGGAAUAUUUUUGAGUAGGCUGUUUGUUCUGCUACAACUAUUUACAAUUUUAAUUAUGUAUUCUUUGUCUGAAAAAUAUACUAAUAAAACUAUUGAUUUUUUGUA
ensembl:lncRNA